CCGCGAACGGGUGAGUAACACGUGGGUAACCUGCCUCGAUGACCGGGACAACCCGGGGAAACCCGGGCUAAUACCGGAUGUGCUCCUUCACAUCAGUGAAGACAGGAAAGGAAGCUUCGGCCUCCGCAUCGAGAUGGGCCCGCGGCCCAUUAGCUUGUUGGUGAGGUAACGGCUCACCAAGGCUGCGAUGGGUAGCUGGUCUGAGAGGACGAUCAGCCACACUGGGACUGAGACACGGCCCAGACUCCUACGGGAGGCAGCAGUGGGGAAUCUUGCGCAAUGCGCGAAAGCGUGACGCAGCAACGCCGCGUGGGGGAAGACGGCCUUCGGGUUGUAAACCCCUUUCAGGAGGGACGAAGCUCGAGCGGUUAAUAGCCGACUCGUGUGACGGUACCUCCAGAAGAAGCCCCGGCUAACUACGUGCCAGCAGCCGCGGUAAUACGUAGGGGGCAAGCGUUGUCCGGAAUCAUUGGGCGUAAAGAGCGUGUAGGCGGUCCGAUUAGUCGGCUGUGAAAGUCCAGGGCUCAACCCUGGGAUGCCG
rnacentral:rRNA from 1 species